GCCUGCUUGGCGUAGUGGCAUCGCAUCUGUCUUGUAAUUAAAUUACGAUUUAGAAAACAGAAGGUCGCUGGUUCGAAUCCGGUAGUAGGCA